GAACAAAUCAUUUAUAGGGUUUUCAUAACCCUCUUUCAUUUAGACUCAUCAAUUUAUCCCAAAAAGCCAUUUUCCAAAAUUUACAACAAAUGGAAAUUGAACCAAAUUCAAUUGACCAUUUCAAGCUAUAUAGCCAAUUGGAAUUACAGGAGUUCGCCGACAAAUUCGUUUUCCGAUCACCGGAAUCAUCCACUGAAGGCUUCUCCGUUAGCCGCUACGAUGGGAACAUCGAGAAACUCAAUGGUGAUAUGAGCUUUGGAAAACCUUCAAAAGUAUCUACUAUUUAUGGAGUUGCUGGAACAAUUAGGUUGUUGGCAGGAUCACAUAUAUUAUUAAUAACAUCCCGGAAAGAAGUGGGGAACUAUCUUGGUUUUCCUAUUUUCCGUGUGAUGUCCAUGAAGUUUCUUUCCUGCAACGAGGCAUCAAGGCAUCUUACACGUCAAGAAAAAAGAGAUGAAACUUACUUCAUGAAUUUGUUGACAAUAGUGGAAUCAACUCCAGGCUUGUAUUAUUCCUAUGAAACAGAUAUAACAGUGAACUUGCAGAGAAGAUGCACUUGGGCAAAAGGGUGGAUGAGUAAACCAGUUUGGAAACAGGCUGAUCCGCGGUUUGUUUGGAAUAAAAAUCUGUUGGAGGAACUGGUUGAAAAUAUGCUUGAUGGAUUCGUCAUUCCUCUGUUGCAAGGAAGCUUCCAGACUGGACAUCUUAAACUCAAAGAUUCACCAGCUACCAUAGCAUUGAUUUCAAGGAGAUGCACACGGCGCUUGGGAACACGAUUGUGGAGAAGAGGGGCUAAUCUAGAAGGAGAUGCUGCUAAUUUUAUUGAAACUGAGCAGUUGCUGGAGUUUGAAGGUUUCAGGUCUUCUUUUUUGCAAAUUCGAGGUUCAAUUCCACUCCUGUGGGAGCAAAUUGUUGAUUUGAGCUAUAAACCACGGCUUAAUAUUAUCGAUCACGAGGAAACACCAAAAGUCGUGGAGCGCCAUUUUCAUGAUCUCUUGCAAAGAUAUGGGCAUGUCGUUGCAGUUGACCUGACAAACAAGCAAGGUGAUGAGGGUCUAUUAAGUGCAGCUUAUGCAGCAGAAAUCCAAAAGCUGUCAAGUGUGAGAUAUGUGUCGUUUGACUUUCAUCACUGUUGUGGGGGCUCAAACUUUGACAACAUACAACUUCUAUAUGAUCAGAUCGCAGAGGAUUUUGAAAAAAAUGGAUACUUUCUCAUAGACACAGAAGAGAAGAUUAUAUUAGAGCAGAGAGGAGUUAUUAGAUCCAACUGCAUUGAUUCCCUAGAUCGAACAAAUGUUACUCAGAGCUACCUGGCUCGGAAGUCUUUGGAUUCUCAACUCCAAAGACUUGGUGCACUUUCUUCAAAUGAGUGCAUUUCUAUGUUCACUGAAGAUUUUGAAAUCUUUAAGACUAUGUGGGUGGAGCAAGGUGAUGAAAUCAGCCUGGAAUAUUCUGGAACACAUGCUCUAAAACGGGACCUUGUCAGAUAUGGAAAACAGACUAUGACAGGACUUAUAAAAGAUGGGAUGAGUGCCAUUUCAAGAUACUUCUUGAACAAUUUUCAGGAUGGAAUUCGCCAGGCAUGCUGCAGACAUUAUCUUACUAUGAAAUGAUCCUCUCUUAUUUAUUCUCUUUUCAUUGCAAGUGAAUCUUCAUAUACUUUCCAUGCACUUGCAGGAUGCAGCGGACCUUAUAAGUGGUCGCUACAGUGUUAACAGGGACAGCCCCUCUCCGUUCCGGAAUAAUGGAUUCGACUCACUCAGUUAUCUACCAGUAGCAUCGGCACUUUUAAUUGGUGGAUUGACCGUGACCAACAUCACGAUUAACCAAGGACGAAAUACAAACAGCAUUUUGUCCUCUGCAGUGUGUGCUGGUGUAACUGCUGGAGUUAUGGCACUAGUCAAAUCAAAUGGAAGGCAAAUCUGCUCAAGACCUCGAUUGUGUGGACUGCUGUAAGUCUGACCAUCAUAUCAUAGUAGAUAACCAGAACCAUGAAGCAUUUUUGCUUCGUGAACCUGACUGCUAUUGAACCCCUGAAUUAAGCCAAGCCAUCAAAAAAUUCGGGAACUAGGAGGACUCCCGGGACAAUGGAAGGAGCAGCAAGCAUUGUUGUGUUAUAACCAAAUAUCAGAAAACCUUAUAGUAAAGGGAAACAUGACUGAUAAUAUAUAUUUUACUUGUAUCAAAUUUGAUUCACCCCAACUUGUUUGGGACUGAGGUAAAAACUGACUUAAAUAAGGCUAUAAUUAAGUUCAUAUCCCAAUAAUGUUUACAUCCUGAUUGAGGGAAUUGAUGAUUGUAGAUUUUCAUCUAGUCAAAA